AACGAACGCUGGCGGCAUGCCUAACACAUGCAAGUCGAACGAGACCUUCGGGUCUAGUUGCGCACGGGUGCGUAACGCGUGGGAACCUGCCCUUAGGUUCGGAAUAACUCCCCGAAAGGGGUGCUAAUACCGGUUAAUGUCUUCGGACCAAAGAUUUAUCGCCUUUGGAUGGGCCCGCGUUGGAUUAGCGAGUUGGUAGGGUAAAAGCCUACCAAGGCGACGAUCCAUAGCUGGUCGGAGAGGAUGAUCAGCCACACUGGGACUGAGACACGGCCCAGAAUCGUACGGAAGGGAGCAGUGGGGAAUAUUGGACGAUGGGCGAAAGCCUGAUACAGCAAUGCCGCGUGAGUGAUGAAGGCCUUAGGGUUGUAAAGCUCUUUUACACGGGAUGAUAAUGACAGUACCGGGAGAAUAAGCACCGGCUAACUCCGUG
rnacentral:rRNA from 1 species